CGCCGUUAGGGUUUAGGGUUUAAGACUUUCAAGGGUUAAAAUUUUAGUAACAGAGAGCUCGCCGGAGAUUCAGAGGUUUCUCGAGCAAGAAGAGAAGAACGCUAUGGUCACUGAUAGGGCUGGGCAUAUUCAGUUCGGUUCGGUUUUAUGCCAAAUCCGCAUCCAAUCCGAAUUUUUUGGAUUCUCAAAACUCUCAUCCAGAUCUAGAUUUUUUCCCCUUCAUCCGAAUAUUCGGCCCAACCGAAAUUCGGUUCGGUUCGGUUUGGUUUCGGUUUUGAAUUUGCAAAGAGUUCUAUCCAAAGAUUUCUGUUGUGAAUUUGCAAGCUGGGCAUUGUCCUCAUGAUGAGGUUCCUGAGCUCGCCAACAAAGCUUUAUUAGACUAGUUAUCAUCUUUAGAAUAAAGUUUUGAGUUGAUAUAAUUACGCAGAGAACAUAUGUUUUAAAGAUGUUGUUCAUAUAAUACAGCAUGCUUAUCUCUUGUAAGUAUCAUGUACUUAACACAUUUUGUGAUUGAUUUGAAUCUUAUGUAAUUCUCAAGAUUUUUUCUG